rnacentral:rRNA from 1 species
CUGGAGAGGGGGAUAACCACCGGAAACGGUGGCUAAUACCCCGGAUGUGGAUAGCGUUAGAGGCUAUCGACUGAAGUGGUGUCUUCGGACACCGCGCUCUGGGAGGGGCCUGCGGCCCAUCAGCUGGUUGGUAGGGUAACGGCCUACCAAGGCGAAGACGGGUAGGGGGCGUGAGAGCGCGACCCCCCACACUGGUACUGAAACACGGACCAGAUACCUACGGGUAGCAGCAGCAAGGAAUAUUGCGCAAUGGGGGCAACCCUGACGCAGCAACGCCGCGUGGAGGAGGAAGUCNUUCGGGAUGUAAACUCCUUUUCUGGGGGAAGAAGGCGGGUCAGGCAACUGACNUUGCUUGACGGUACCCCAGGAAGAAGGCCCGGCUAA